UUUGCUUGUGAUGUAUGUGGGGUCUAGUUAACAAAAAUCUAGGGAAUUUAUUAUUGGGUUUGGGGUAAAGAAAUGGGAAUGUCAUUGCCUUUCACCAAUCAAGCAGCUGCUUAAUACACGUCUUCUUUGUCUCAACUGGCGCAUGUGCAAGUGUAGCUUUUUCUUUUCUUUUCUUUUUUAUUUUUAUUUUGUUGAAGUAAAAGGACUCCACUUGUU
rnacentral:lncRNA from 1 species